rnacentral:rRNA from 1 species
UGGGGAAUUUUGGACAAUGGGGGAAACCCUGAUCCAGCCAUCCCGCGUGUGCGAUGAAGGCCUUCGGGUUGUAAAGCACUUUUGGCAGGAAAGAAACGUCGCGGGUUAAUACCCCGCGAAACUGACGGUACCUGCAGAAUAAGCACCGGCUAACUACGUGCCAGCAGCCGCGGUAAUACGUAGGGUGCAAGCGUUAAUCGGAAUUACUGGGCGUAAAGCGUGCGCAGGCGGUUCGGAAAGAAAGAUGUGAAAUCCCAGAGCUUAACUUUGGAACUGCAUUUUUAACUACCGGGCUAGAGUGUGUCAGAGGGAGGUGGAAUUCCACGUGUAGCAGUGAAAUGCGUAGAUAUGCGGAGGAACACCGAUGGCGAAGGCAGCCUCCUGGGAUAACACUGACGCUCAUGCACGAAAGCGUGGGGAGCAAACAGGAUUAGAUACCCUGGUAGUCCACGCCCUAAACGAUGUCAACUAGCUGUUGGGGCCUUCGGGCCUUGGUAGCGCAGCUAACGCGUGAAGUUGACCGCCUGGGGAGUACGGUC